rnacentral:rRNA from 1 species
GCGGACGGGUGAGUAACGCGUAGAUACCUGCCUAUAGCUGGGGGAUAACACUGCGAAAGUGGUAGCUAAUACCGCAUACAUGCAGCGUGGGCCGCAUGGCCAUAGUUGUUAACAGGUUUCGGCCGGCUAUAGAUGGGUCUGCGUGCUAUUAGUUAGUUGGUAGGGUAACGGCCUACCAAGGGCGAUGAUAGCUAGGGGGUCUGAGAGGAUGAUCCCCCACACUGGGACUGAGACACGGCCCAGACUCCUACGGGAGGCAGCAGUGAGGAAUCUUGCGCAAUGGGCGAAAGCCUGACGCAGCCACGCCGCGUGCCGGAUGAAGGCCCUAUGGGUUGUAAACGGCUUUUACUAGGGAAGAACGAGAGGGUUUUGAUCUUCUGUGACGGUACCUAGUGAAUAAGCACCGGCUAACUCCGUGCCAGCAGCCGCGGUAAUACGGAGGGUGCAAGCGUUGUCCGGAAUCAUUGGGUGUAAAGGGUACGUAGGCGGGAGCCUAAGUCUGGGGUGAAAUCUUGCCGUUAACGGUAAAAUGGCCUU